rnacentral:rRNA from 1 species
ACACUCCUGCGGGAGGCAGCAGUGGGGAAUUUUGGACAAUGGGCGAAAGCCUGAUCCAGCAAUGCCGCGUGUGUGAAGAAGGCCUUCGGGUUGUAAAGCACUUUUGUCCGGAAAGAAAUCCUUGGCUCUAAUACAGUCGGGGGAUGACGGUACCGGAAGAAUAAGCACCGGCUAACUACGUGCCAGCAGCCGCGGUAAUACGUAGGGUGCGAGCGUUAAUCGGAAUUACUGGGCGUAAAGCGUGCGCAGGCGGUUUGCUAAGACCGAUGUGAAAUCCCCGGGCUCAACCUGGGAACUGCAUUGGUGACUGGCAGGCUAGAGUAUGGCAGAGGGGGGUAGAAUUCCACGUGUAGCAGUGAAAUGCGUAGAGAUGUGGAGGAAUACCGAUGGCGAAGGCAGCCCCCGGGGCCAAUACUGACGCUCAUGCACGAAAGCGCGGGGAGCAAACAGGAUUAGAUACCCCGGUAGUCCCAUG